rnacentral:rRNA from 1 species
CCUACGGGUGGCAGCAGUGAGGAAUAUUGGUCAAUGGCCGGAAGGCUGAACCAGCCAUGCCGCGUGAAGGUCAGUGCCCUAUGGGCGUUAAACUUCUUUUGUGCGGGAGCAAUAAUGGUCACGUGUGGCCAGACGAGAGUACCGUACGAAUAAGCAUCGGCUAACUCCGUGCCAGCAGCCGCGGUAAUACGGGGGAUGCAAGCGUUAUCCGGACUUAUUGGGUUUAAAGGGUGCGUAGGCUGGGAGGUAAGGCAGCGGUGAAAUGCCCCUGCUCAAAGGGGUGAAGUGCCAUUGAUACUGCCUGGCUGGAGUGCGGAUGACGUAGGAGGAAUUUGUGGUGUAGCAGUGAAAUGCAUAGAUAU